rnacentral:lncRNA from 1 species
GAGAAUACAUUAUUUUUUUCUUACCUUUGACUUUGGAUCUCGCCGUCUUCGUCCAAGAUGUAAAAGGAGGAUGGCCUGGGCAGCGACUGUGGUGCGUCGGGAAAGGGCGGAUGGUGCAGUGCAUCAGUACCUUUGAAUACCACAAUCUCAGCUAAGAGGAAAACAUAGAUUAUGGAUUUACGAGGGCAAACAUAUCUAGAGAGUGGAAAUGGCGGCGAUGGAUGGAGAAGAAGAUAGUUAGAUCUAGACAAUGUUCAUGGUUGACGGUGGAGGAGAAGAUAGUUAGGUCUAAGGAGUGGUGGUGGCGGCGACGAGUGGAGGAGAAUAUGGUUAGAUCUAGACAAUAUUGAUGGUUGCAGGUGGAGGAGAAGAUAGAUGGAUCUAGAUAAUGUU